UACGUAGGGUGCGAGCGUUAAUCGGAAUUACUGGGCGUAAAGCGUGCGCAGGCGGUGAUGUAAGACAGGUGUGAAAUCCCCGGGCUUAACCUGGGAACUGCAUUUGUGACUGCAUCGCUGGAGUGCGGCAGAGGGGGAUGGAAUUCCGCGUGUAGCAGUGAAAUGCGUAGAUAUGCGGAGGAACACCGAUGGCGAAGGCAAUCCCCUGGGCCUGCACUGACGCUCAUGCACGAAGGCGUGGGGAGCAAACAGG
rnacentral:rRNA from 1 species